AACGAACGCUGGCGGCAUGCCUAACACAUGCAAGUCGAACGAGACCUUCGGGUCUAGUGGCGCACGGGUGCGUAACGCGUGGGAAUCUGCCCUUAGGUACGGAAUAACUCAGGGAAACUUGAGCUAAUACCGUAUAAUGACUUCGGUCCAAAGAUUUAUCGCCUAAGGAUGAGCCCGCGUCGGAUUAGCUAGUUGGUGAGGUAAAAGCUCACCAAGGCGACGAUCCGUAGCUGGCUGAGAGGAUGAUCAGCCACAUUGGGACUGAGACACGGCCCAAACUACCUACGGGA
rnacentral:rRNA from 1 species